AAUAGAUACCCUGGUAGUUCACGCCGUAAACGAUGGGCACUAGGUGUGGGAGGUGUCGACUCCUCCCGUGCCGUCGCUAACGCACUAAGUGCCCCGCCUGGGGAGUACGGCCGCAAGGCUAAAGCUCAAAGGAAUUGACGGGGACCCGCACAAGCGGCGGAGCAUGCGGAUUAAUUCGAUGCAACGCGAAGAACCUUACCAAGGCUUGACAUACACCAGAACACCCUAGAAAUAGGGGACUCUUUGGACACUGGUGAACAGGUGGUGCAUGGUUGUCGUCAGCUCGUGUCGUGAGAUGUUGGGUUAAGUCCCGCAACGAGCGCAACCCUCGUUCUAUGUUGCCAGCACGUAAUGGUGGGAACUCAUGGGAUACUGCCGGGGUCAACUCGGAGGAAGGUGGGGAUGACGUCAAAUCAUCAUGCCCCUUAUGUCUUGGGCUUCACGCAUGCUACAAUGGCCGGUACAAAGGGCUGCAAUACCGUGAGGUGGAGCGAAUCCCAAAAAGCCGGUCCCAGUUCGGAUUGAGGU
rnacentral:rRNA from 1 species